UUGCAUUUUGUGCAAUUACACUAUAAUUGUUUUUACAUACAUCAGACUCCGCUAAUUAAUUGUGUGAGAGGUGGUCGAACCGAACUAUGACCAUGUACAGUUCUCUCCACCUGAGUGGUAGAACUGGUGACAGCAGUGCCAUUUUAGCUCAGUCAGUGAACUCCUCACCCCCCUGAGUACAAAGGAGACGAGGGAAAGACGAGGGAGAGAACGGAGGAGUAACUGCUGGUGGCCCGUACCCACAUGUGGACAUGUACAAAAGGACGAUCCACACGGACUCUACGCCCAUCCACAGGGCCCUACCCACUCAGAAAAACACACCUUCACUCUUACUCACAAGCACAAACACAUACCGGUACUCACAUACACCCUCACUCACAC
ensembl:lncRNA